rnacentral:lncRNA from 1 species
CGGAGAAGAACAGCUCACGGGCUAAUCAUGGCUGAACUCCAGAUGCCCUAGGUGGGAAUUCCCCUGCUUACAGAGCCAAGGCAGAGAGGUGAAGCGGGAAGGAAACAGCACCGUGAGAGGAAGCUGGGCAAAGAGCAAUCGACGAGAGAGAGAUGAAACACAACGUAAGCUAACCAUCAUGCAGGCACCGGAGCUGGAGACCACGCUAAUUUUUUCUGCACGGAGCACUUUGUAAUCCAGCUAGACUUGCAAGACCAAAAAAGCACUGUAAAAGAGCCUCAGCAGGAUGGCAGGUGAGUGUGACUACAGAUCACAAUUCUUUGGGUGGGAUUCACAUGCAUAAACCUCUAGGUAUCUAAACUAUGGUGCUCCAUGUUAAGUUGAUGGGGUCAUUUCUCUUGGAGUCAUCUUAUCUUAGCAUGAGUCUCUCAGAGACAUGAUGUGAAUUUCCCCUAAAAACUGUUAUUUCUCUCCAUUGAUGUUGGAGGACAUGGUGGGUGACCAGCUCAGCUGUGGGCAUCUAAAGACAGGGGGGAGGAAUGUGUCUUACAAGACCCAAAGCUCUACAUCAGA